rnacentral:lncRNA from 1 species
GGGGCGAUACCCGCACCCCCGGAGCGGGCAGAGGCUCUGCGGAAGGAGGAUGCGGAGGAUGCCGCUCCGCGCACCGAGGGAGCCGCAGCCCCGGGAGGCUUCGGGCGCUGCCGGCGGAGGUGGAGGUUUUGGCAUUCCUGCUGGGACAGCUCCCAUCGGCCCCAGGAGCCGCUGGAACCUCCUUGUGCCCGCGGUGAGGACGCCAGGGCAUGAGUGGCACUUGUCCCCUCCCGAGGCAGGAUUUAUCCCUGGAUGGUUCCUCGGAGCUUUGCCUGGGCUUUGGAUGCUCCCUUCUGUCGGCAGCUGGAAUGGCAGGGUCAUUCCUCCUGCUCCUCCCAAAUCCUGUGGAUUUACUGCUUUUGGCAUCUCCUGCUGGGACUGGCUCUAGCACAGGGAAUCUCCGAGGGACAGAUGGGGAAAAGCAGCACCAGCAGCCUGAGGCUACAAUUCUCCUUUUUUCUGGGCUACUCGGAGCAUCCUGGCUCUGCAGGAGGAAGGAUUCCAUGCACUGCUGGAGGACAAGUCCUGCUGCUCUGAUGGUCCCUGCUGGAGGCUCGGGGUGAGGGACACAGGGACAGCCAGGAACAGCUCCCGAGGACAGGACAGACUGCAGCUGGGACAGAGGGACAGAAGGACAGCCAGGAACAUCUCCUGAGGACAGGAUGGACACUGCAGCUGGAGCAGAGGGACAGAAGGACAGCCAGGAACAGCUCCUGAGGACAGGAUGGACACUGCAGCUGGAGCAGAGGGACAGAAGGACAGCCAGGAACAGCUCCUGAGGACAGGAUGGACACUGCAGCUGGAGCAGAGGGACAGAAGGACAGCCAGGAACAGCUCCUGAGGACAGGAUGGACACUGCAGCUGGAGCAGAGGGACAGAAGGACAGCCUGAGGCCAGGACAGACUGCAGCUGGAGCUGAGGAG